rnacentral:rRNA from 1 species
UACAGAGGUCUCAAGCGUUGUUCGGAUUCAUUGGGCGUAAAGGGUGCGUAGGUGGCGCGCUAAGUCAGGUGUGAAAUUUCGGAGCUUAACUCCGAAACUGCAUUUGAUACUGGCGUGCUUGAGGACUGGAGAGGAGACUGGAAUUCAUGGUGUAGCAGUGAAAUGCGUAGAGAUCAUGAGGAAGACCAGUGGCGAAGGCGGGGCUCUGGACAGUUACUGACACUGAGGCACGAAGGCCAGGGGAGCAAACGGG